rnacentral:rRNA from 1 species
UACGAAGGGUGCAAGCGUUACUCGGAAUUACUGGGCGUAAAGCGUGCGUAGGUGGUUUGUUAAGUCUGUUGUGAAAGCCCCGGGCUCAACCUGGGAAUGGCAAUGGAUACUGGCAAGCUAGAGUGCGGUAGAGGGUAGUGGAAUUCCCGGUGUAGCGGUGAAAUGCGUAGAUAUCUGGAGGAACACCGGUGGCGAAGGCGGCAUCCUGGACCAUUACUGACGCUGAGGAGCGAAAGCCAGGGGAGCAAACGGG